GUCGAGGGGAAACGACAUCGAAAGCUUGCUUUUGAUGGGCGUCGACCGGCGCACGGGUGAGUAACGCGUAUCCAACCUGCCCACCACUUGGGGAUAACCUUGCGAAAGUAAGACUAAUACCCAAUGAUAUCUCUAGAAGACAUCUGAAAGAGAUUAGAGAUUUAUCGGUGAUGGAUGGGGAUGCGUCUGAUUAGCUUGUUGGCGGGGUAACGGCCCACCAAGGCAACGAUCAGUAGGGGUUCUGAGAGGAAGGUCCCCCACAUUGGAACUGAGACACGGUCCAAACUCCUACGGGAGGCAGCAGUGAGGAAUAUUGGUCAAUGGACGAGAGUCUGAACCAGCCAAGUAGCGUGCAGGAAGACGGCCCUAUGGGUUGUAAACUGCUUUUAUAAGGGAAUAAAGUGAGAGUCGUGACUCUUUUUGCAUGUACCUUAUGAAUAAGGACCGGCUAAUUCCGUGCCAGCAGCCGCGGUAAUACGGAAGGUCCGGGCGCUAUCCGGAUUUAUUGGGUUUAAAGGGAGCGUAGGCCGGAGAUUAAGCGUGUUGUGAAAUGUAGAUGCUCAAC
rnacentral:rRNA from 1 species